rnacentral:tRNA from 1 species
UGGUCUAUUAGCUCACUCGGGAGAGCGCUACCCUGUCACGGUAGAGGUAAUGGGAUCGAAACCCAUAUAGACCGCCAA